AUCUGCACCAAAAAAAAAAUAUAUAUUGUAAACUUCCUCUACAAGUAUUUCCAGGCCUACCAUCCAAACAAGAAAAUGAUAUUGAAAGAUUUUAGUUUUCACUAAAAAAAACGUAGUUGCAUGCAAGGGUCCAAUUAAAGUAGUAAAUGGUAACCAAUCAAUCAAACCCUUGAAAAAUAAAAAUAGCAAUCAACUAAACACCUCAACAGAACAAAAUGUAUCCCCAUUCAAACAAAGCAACCACACUUCUCCAAACUGGACUCAUAAAUGCAAUCACCAGCAGAAGGAAGUGGAGAACCCUGAAAACAAUAUCUUGGAAAAUGCUUGAUUCAUAAUCCAGUGAUGACAUCCAACAGGCACCAAUUAACAGAUGGCAACUAUGUAAACAUAUAUGUCCAUUCAACGGGCUGAGGACGUGAUUAGACAAAACAAUAUUAAGUCCCUAUUGACUCCAAGUUCGCAGUUGUACUUGAUAGAAAACAAAAAAUUUCUGCUGAGGUUUGCUGCUUGUGAUAACUGGUGAGAGUCGCAUGACUCAGUGACGAAUCAGCAUUUCCCAGACAAUCAAAAUGAACACGGCUAGACCAAAAAGUACAUUAACAAUACAUACUGAUAGGGAAUGUGAUCUGUUGAUUGAUGGAGUAGUAUCUGGGCAAAUGGAAGAAACCUCCCAGUCAUUGAAAGAUGAUCCAGUUGGUCUGAGAUUCCAAUAUGGCUUUGCAGGUUCCUUGCUUUUCAUGUACCUGCAGCUUAUAUUGCUUACAGUAGAAACUGUGCUGGACUUAAUCGCUGGAGGACUAUAGCAUGUAGCCAGACCCAUAGAUCGCCCAUACGAGCAAUAUUCCCAAUCUUCCAAAGGAUGUUUUGGAUCCUCAGGCUCAAGUUUUUUCCUCACCUUGUCUAUAGAUUCUCUGCUUGAAAAAAGUGGGAUGGGUCCCUCCCCUACCCCAAAAAUAGGCUCGUCUCCUUGUGCUGAACCCCUCCCUGAUACAAAAGUUCUCAUAUGCUGGUAUUCUUCCGAUCUGGCAGCUUCAUCAUUCAAGUUUGAGGUUUUCAUUUUUUGGGAAGACUCACUUGGGCCAGAUUGAUACUCAAUUAACUCAACGAGAUUUACAUCUUUUUCAGUGAAGUAUUUGUCCAGAGAAAGACAUGAAUCUGCGAACUUUACAGGAUCCUCAUCAUCGUUGCUACUAUCAAGCAAAUCCAACCCCUCAGGUUGAUUAUCAAAGCAACUGGUCAGUGGCAAAUGCCGGUCAGAAACACGCUGAUGUGAGUGAAUCUGUGACUUCAGUCGUCCUGGAAUCAUCCCAGUAGGGCAGAUAUGGGAUUGCUGAACUUGCUCUGAAUCUGUCUGAACUCGCUGAUUAUCAACCUCAGCAUCCAUAGGUUGAAUUGGUUCACCUUCAUCCUGGAGUGAAUGAUCAAUCGUCUCAUCUGCUUUAUGCUUUAAUUUACAGAGAACAAAAUGCAUCUGGUGGGGAAGGAUGUUUGUAGAUUGGUACUCAUGUAUGACCCAACUGGUCCUGAGUGGCUUAGAAUCACUGACUUUCUUGUAGAACACCAAACUCCUCUUGUUACCAAUCUCCCUACCUGUCUCCUCAGCUUUGAUAUGGCGUAUCUUUCCUGUGACUUUCCAGAAUCCAGCCCUCGUUGUUCUGUUGGCUCGUUUACUAUUAGAAUACUUGUAAUCAGGGCGACUGAAAAAAUACCAAGCUUGAUCAUUUGAUGAUAUUAAGCAACGGUCAGGUAUAUCCCAUGGCUCGCACUGGCAGAGAUCAAUCUCGCCAACAAUAUGAUUAACAAGGGAAUCCUUGCCAUUCAUUUUGUGCUUAAGGUAAUAGCCAACGAUUUCUUCAUCAGUUGGAUGGAAUCUGAACCCAACUUUAGGAGAAGGAAAUCUCUCUUCAUGAAGGGGAUCUGACAGAAAAUGGGUAUCCAAAUGUGCGUCCAUUGUGAACCCGCAGCUUGACUCUUGCACCCUUUAAGUCUUUAAACCACCCAGUUUGAAAAGCUUGAGCUAGCUAAUUUCCUCGUGAAGAGAAGGAGCCUGUGUGAAAGUGAAGAAUGGAAAGAAAGCAGAGAAACUAGCACAAAGAAGGGGAAUAGAAAAAUUUAUCCCUAGUUGGGUAACAAAAAUCUCACCCAACAAGAACCAGAUUUCUUCGUCCCUCUUCGGAGAAUUCAUUCAAGUUUCAUGGUUUUCCUCUGCAUCUUCACCGAGGAGUCGUCAGAGAAGCAAAGUGGAAGGUGCUAUGACAUUAAGGUGGGAAUAUAAAUGGUUGAAUGACAUCAACAAGACGAGGUUCUUCUCUCUUUCCUAAUCAAAGUUUCUACUUACAUGAGAAGUUAGCUAAAAGAAAGACCACUGGAGUCAGAAAUCCUCAUCGGCCCAUGGAAUGAGUGGGUCCCUCCAUGUCGGAAAUUCUCAACUGUCCGUACAUAUUUGUUUUUUAG
rnacentral:misc_RNA from 1 species